UUCAGUUCUUUUCAUUCACAGUUCUCCUCAUAGCUGGUUGAUUUGAUUCAUGGCUCUUAAUGCUUUAGUGAAGAUAUUUUUUUACUCGCUAUUGCAAAAAAUGAAUGGAAAAAAAUACUUCCAGAACCAGUGUUGCUGAAAAAGUGGCGACAGUGACUAAAGUAAGUAUCAGUGUGAUUAAUUGUGAUUUAACUACCGCACUGUGUGAACGUAACCGUAUUAAGGACUGGUAACCGUAUUCUGCUGCUGUCUGAAUGUGGCCAUAGAUUACUUUAAGAGAUUCUUUUACCCCCAAAAAAACAUGCAUUUAUAUUUGAAGGAAUCUGGAAAAAAUACUCCAAAUCCACUAUUAUGCUGUUGUUACUUACGUAAAACAAAAGAAAUGUUUGUUUUUUCAAUCAAUUUUGGAAUAUGGCAUGCCACCCUGCACAUGACAGGAAAAAUUAAGAUACUGUGUCCACAAAUUAAGACUGUUUUCCCACUUCUUAUUUAUUUGUGGCCAAGUGUACCAGUUUAUUCCCUCAAUUUUGGUAUAUCGUGGUCAUGUUGCACUUAUUUGUCUUCAUGUCAGAAAAUUCUGGGAAGGUUUGGAACGACACAAGUUUUUCCAUUUAGUGGCCAAGUUAUUUUAAUGAAUUCCUUUUAAUUUAAUUUAAUUUUAUGCCAUGAUUUAACCAAAAGGAGUAAACAAAUUAAUACACUCAGACAAUUAACUGAAAACAAGGGAUCAAACUUAUAAUUUGUGGGAAAUCAUUCUUAAAUCCAUGAUAUCUUGUGUUUCCCUGCAUGUCAUGUGCGGAGCAGCGUGAACAUUUGUCAAAAUAUCUCAUUAGUGUUUGAAAGACAUGAUCAUGUUAUUGUUGAGAGGAACAUUGCUUUAAAGCCAUUUUCAGUAAAUAAAAGGUAAUGGCUAUAAA